rnacentral:ncRNA from 1 species
ACCAAGGAGUUUAUCAUGUGCGCGAGUCAUCGGGUGUUAUGAAAACCAAAGGCAAACUGAACGUAAAGUUCGGUUUUUCUAAACUGAGGUGAGAUCAUGUUGUCUUGCUCAUACUUUCCAAGUUGCGAGCAGCGGGCGCAUCACCGGCUCGUCUCAUGAUGUAAACACGUGACCUCGUGUUAUGUGCUCAGUCAAAGAGGAGCAAGAGCGUACACGUUGAGACUUGAAAGAUGGUGAACUAUGCUUGUGAAGGUUAAAGCCAGAGGAAACUCUGGUGGAGGAUGGUAGCGGUUCUGACGUGCGAAUCGAUCAUAUGACGUGAGUGUAGGGGCAAAGGACUAAUCGAACCAUCUAGUAGCUGGUUCCCCCGAAAGUUUCCCUCAGGAUAACUAGGAUUAUGAGAAAUAAACAGUUUUACCCGGUAAAGCGAAUGAUUAGAGACAUUGAGGAGAAAUCAUCCUCAACCUAUUCUAGAAAUUCAAACGUGUGAGAAGCCUAACUCUCCUAAUCGGAGUUUUGCAUUGAAUUCAAGUGCCAAGUGGGUCAUGUUUGGUAAGCAGAACUGAUGCUGUAGGAUAAACUAAACCUUCGGUUAAGGUGCCUAACGCGACACUCAUGAGAUAUCACGAAAGGUUCAGGUUGACCUAGACAGCAGGGCGGUGGACAUGAAAGCCGGGAGCCACUAAGGAGUGUGUAACGACUCACCUGGCGAAUCAACCAUCCUUGAUAAUAGAUGGCGCUCGAGCGUUGGACCUACACUGGACCGUUACUAUAAGUUAGGCCUAUGGUGUGUGAAGGUAUGCUGCAUUUGGUUUAAACAUGGAGUGACGGCAACGAGUAGGAGGGUCGCUGUGGCUAGAAGGAAGCCUCAGGCGUGAGCCUAGGGGGAGCAACCACAGGAGCAAAUCUUAAUGGUAGUAGCAAAUAUUCAAGUGAGAACUUUACAUAACAAGCUA